UCGGGAUUCGUGUAUUUUCUUUAAUUUUCGGUUUCAAAGGGGAAAAGGCCACAUUUUAGUGUUUUUUUAAAUUGCUAGGAUGGGAAAAACUUGUGUCGUUUGUGCCGCAUCAUGAUAAAAAGGUGAUUCAAGCCGAUCUUUUCACAAGAUUUCUGAUGCACUGGUUAAAAACACAGCAGCGGAUAAUUCAGUUAAUUUACCAAGUGAUUUAUCCUUCAAAGCUGCAGGGGCAGCUUUCCUGAAGAGUGCAAAAACUUCUUUAGCUUCCAAAAUGGUAUAUAGUACAAACAGUGAAGCUAAUAUAGAUAAAUCUGAUCAUUCAUCAUCAACAAUAACUGCAUCUGAGAUUAAUAGUUCUACAGUAAUCGUGGGGUCUAGGUCAACAAUUACUAUUUCUUAUCCAAGCCGUUUUUGUUUAACUGGUACACAUUCCCUGACUCUGCCAAGGAAAAGAUAAAAAUACACUAUUUUAUUUGACUAUAGUAAUACACUAUUUUAUUUUAUUAUACAUAUUUUAUUUGACUUGUAAAAGUACUUGUUUGUAUAUUACUACUAAUAAACUAUCUAAUCUAUUGUA